GUCCACUUCGUCCUCUAAUCUCAUCACUCGGAGAAGAGAGCUGAGAGCUGGGCUGCACAUGGCAGAGAGAAUGAUGGAUAUCACCACUGGGAGAGAAGGAUCAGAAGGUGCAUCUGUGCUGGCCCAACGCCCACACCUCUGCCCAAUGUGAUAUAUCGAGACCAGCGUGAGGGGGACAGGCUGAUGCUCACUGCACAUCUGGCUCAGAGUGGGGCCUCCAGAACAUUGCAUGCUGGUAACAUCUCCCUGGGGAAGAAAAUGCUUGGUCCUCUGGGAAAGGAAUGUCUGUUCUCUGGGCUGGAUCUGUCUUGGGGGAACCGCCCCACCUGACCUCCCAGGAGUUCAGUAUUCCCCCUUCUUUCUCUCUGAUGCCCAUGAGGUAUUUCUGUAUCCUGGGCAGGACCGUGAGCAUCUUGGUAUCACCUCUCUAUCCCCAAUCACCAAGCACAGGACCCUGGAAAAUAGAUGGUUAUUAAAUGUUUGUUCAGAGAGUGAGGAAGCGAAUGAUGGAGCAAAUGUGUGAAAAAGGAGUCUCACUGCAGUCUAAGCACUCUGUCCAGUCCCUGAAGGCAAGUUACACCAGUGUGUCUGGUCCUCUCAAAGCUGACCAAUAGCAUAAGGUCUACUGCCGCAUGCCCUGCCCACUCAGAGACCUUUUACUCUGCUCACCAACCCUCCAUUCUUCCCUCCACCAUGUAAUCUGCUUCGGACAGUCCAAGGCAUCCUCCUGCCAGGAAAAGUCUCCUGAGUGUUGAGCCUCUCAGUGGAGGUUCCAACUCCAAUUAAGUAAAAGUUAGAAGAAUGCAGUGAAAUGCUAUGAUAAUCAGACAUCAUUCAAUGCCACGUCCCAGCAGAUAUCACUUUAGAGGGAUGGAUUUGUCUCAGCUGGACUUCAGGGCUCAUCCAGAAGCACCUGGAAGGACCAUCUAUUAGCAGCCAAUGAGAAUGGCACUGAGGAACAGUCAUUUUAACAAAUCAGUUUAUACAGGUGGAAUGGAUCCAUGGAGGCUUCCAGGAGGAGCAGUUAAAAUUGUUGUGGAAUUGACGUGGCUGCCUCCAAGCCAAGGUUGACGGAAAAGCUUUUUUUAGCUUUUUAUUCCCUGUAGGGAAAGGGACACUCUGAGCAUAUCCAAAAUGCCAAGGACCCUCAAAUGCAGCACUCCUAUCCUACAGAGAACCAUUUUACAAUGAGGAAAAAGAUUUGCAGAAGGGAUAAGAAGGUCCUAGGUUUAUACUGCACAUUGCUGGUGGAGUUUGGGAUCUGUAUAUGGACACCUCUGCCUCCUGAUUUCUCUGAAGAGCAGAUGGGGUGGAAAUCAUGCUGAAAUCUGCAAAACAUCCUAGACUGGUUCACAGAGACAUUGUCCUUGGAAUCAGAGGACCUGGGGGCUGGUUCUGGCUCUGUCCCUCACCUGCCUUGUGACACUGGGCAAGUCUAUUCUUCUCCCUGGGUCUCAGUUUCCUCACUUAUAAAAUGACCCAAUGGAGGAUCUUUAAAGGACCUUCCAGACCCCCAAAGCUGU
rnacentral:lncRNA from 1 species